GCGCUGGUGAAGCGGCUCAUCAGGUCUGUUAGGAAACCUGAGACUUGGAGUGAGAAUCCCAGUGUGGAAAAUCAGGAAAGAGGUUAUUGAAUUCAUUGGAGAAUGAAUGCUGUUCUGAAUUUGUAUCUUAAGGGAAAUACUACAAAAUGUCGCAGAAGGUGCUGGUUGGAUAUCUAAAGUUCAAAAAGGAAGAGAACUACACGAGCUGGAGAUUCAGGAAGCAUCAGUAGAAGUCAAUGGCCAUUAAUAAAAACAUUUUUUAUUAAAAUAUUGAAUGUGAAUAGAAAGCUCCUGUACUUCAUUUCUUAAAUCCCUUGAGGGUAGUAACUGCAUCUUCUCCAUUGAUAUAGCCCCUGCCAAACACAGUGCCUGAAGGCAGGUCCACAGACAUUGGCUGAAUAAAUGAGUGCUCUGCU
rnacentral:antisense_RNA from 1 species